GGAUGUGAGGGUGAUCUGGCUGUGGCAUCGGUCACUACAUUAAUCAGCGGUGUUGAUUUGGCUGAUCUGCUUGGCUAGGUGGGUGUCCUCUACCUCCCUCAUGGCUCUACAUCCAUCCCUCCUGAAUCUACACACUUAGUAGGCGGAGAGGACAGCCUUCUGCAGUGUGGGAGGAUGACCUCCCGCCAUAGAGGAGGACGGUCCUGGUGAAAGGUAGCUGCACCCCCCUGACAGAGCCUCCAAACAAGCUCUCAAAGGGUGUCAAAACCACUGUGCAAAUGACAGUAUAAUGAAGCCAAGGUCUCUGGAAAAUACAAACCCUUAGUGUAGUUGGUAU
rnacentral:snRNA from 1 species